rnacentral:rRNA from 1 species
UCCACGCCGUAAACGAUGAGUGCUAGGUGUCGCGGGUAUUGACCCCUGCGGUGCCGGAGUUAACGCAUUAAGCACUCCGCCUGGGGAGUACGGCCGCAAGGCUAAAACUCAAAGGAAUUGACGGGGGCCCGCACAAGCGGUGGAGCAUGUGGUUUAAUUCGACAAUACGCGAAGAACCUUACCUAGCCUUGACAUUGAAGAAACACACUAGAGAUAGAGUGGUGCCCUUCGGG